CAAAAACAUAGCUUCCUGAAACUAUAAGAAGUAUCGUCUGCCCGGUGACUAAGUUUAACGGCCGCGAAAGUGCUAAGGUAGCAUAUAAUUUGCCUUUUUAUUGGAGGCUAGUAUGAAUGGAUUAACGAAGCUUAACUGUCUCUAACUAAAACUUAAAAAUUGAUUCAUAAGUGAAAAAUCUUAUAUAUAAGUGAUGGACGAAAAGACCCUGUAGAGUUUAAGUAAAAUCUAAAAACAAUUGAUAUACUUUUAUUGGGGCAAUAAAAGAACACAAAAACUCUUUUAAUUAAAAUUUAUUAUAAUAAAUGUAAUGAUCCUCCAAGAGAAAAAAGAAAAACUACCUCAGGGAUAACAGCGUAAUUCUUCCUGAGAGACCUGAUCGAAGGAAGAGUUUGCGACCUCGAUGUUGGACUAAGGUAACUAUUAAAUGCAGAAGUUUAAUAAAGUAAGCCUGUUCGGCUUUUAAUACCUUACAUGAUUUGGGUUCAUUCCGUAA
rnacentral:rRNA from 1 species